rnacentral:tRNA from 4 species
GCGGGCGUGGCGGAAUUGGCAGACGCGCAAGAUUCAGGUUCUUGUUCUCGCAAGGGAGUGGAGGUUCGAUUCCUCUCGCCCGCAC